GACGAACGCUGGCGGCGUGCUUAACACAUGCAAGUCGAACGGAAAGGCCCUGCUUUUGUGGGGUGCUCGAGUGGCGAACGGGUGAGUAACACGUGAGUAACCUGCCCUUGACUUUGGGAUAACUUCAGGAAAAUGGGGCUAAUACCGGGUAGGAGCUCCUGCUGCAUGGUGGGGGUUGGAAAGUUUCGGCGGUUGGGGAUGGACUCGCGGCUUAUCCGCUUGUUGGUGGGGUAGUGGCUUUCCAAGGCUUUGAAGGGUAGCCGGCCUGAGAGGGUGACCGGCCACCAUGGGACUGAGAGACGGCCCAGACUCCUACGGGAGGCAGCAGGCGGGAAUAUUGCACAAUGGGCGGAAGCCUGUUGCAGCAACGCUGCGUGCGGGAUGACGGCCUACGGGUUGUAAACCGCUUUCUCCGUUGACGAAGCGUGAGUGACGGUAAUGGGUAAAGAAGCACCGGCUAACUACGUG
rnacentral:rRNA from 1 species